AAAUUUUAUUUUUUAUUAUAUUUAAGAAAAAUUUUAUAUUAUGAUAGUUAAUUAGUAUUGAGAAAGAAUUUAUGUAAAUUAUAAAAGAAAAUUUUAUUUAUUGUACCUUGUGUAUCAGGGUUAAUUAAUUAUUAAUUUAAGUUUAAAUUUUCUCGAAUUUAUAAGAGCUAAUUAAAUAUAUAUAUUAUUGUAAAAUAAAUAUUUUUAAUAUUAAGUUAGUAAUGAAACGUUAUUCGUUUAUAAAUAUAUCUAGUUUUUUAAGAAAAAAAUUUAAUUUUAUAUUUAAAAAUAUUAAAUUUAAUUUUUAAUUUAAUAUUAAUAAAUAUUAAUAUUUUUAGGGAUGAGCUUAAAAAUAAAUAAUUAUAAAUUUAUAAUAGUAUAAAAUAUGUAGAAUUAGUAAUAUUUUUCAUUAAUAAUUUGUUAUACUUAGUUUUAGUUAAUAUAUAAUUUUUAUAAAUUUUAAAUUUUUUAUUGAAAUUUUUAUUUUAAUUAUAAAUAUAAAUUAAUAAUGAUUAAAUUAGUAAAUAUAUAAUAUAAAUUAUGAAUAAUAAUUUAGAUUAAUCUAAGGAAUUCGGCAAAAUAUUUUUCACCUGUUUAAUAAAAACAUGGCCUAUUGUUUAUGAUUUUAGGUCUAACCUGCCCACUGAUAGUAAUUAAAGGGCCGCGGUAUUUUGACCGUGCAAAGGUAGCAUAAUCAUUAGUUUUUUAAUUGAAAGCUGGAAUGAAAGGUUGAAUGAGAAAAUAACUGUCUCAGUUUAAGUAAUUGAAUUUUAUUUUUAAGUUAAAAAGCUUAAAUAAUUUUAAAAGACGAGAAGACCCUAUAGAGUUUUAUAUUGAUUUUAAAAUUAAUUUUUUAGAAUUAAUUAAUUAAUUUUUUAAUUUUAUUUAAUUGGGGUGAUUGAAAAAUUUAAUUAACUUUUUUUAUUUAAAACCAAUAAUUUUUGAAUAAUUGAUCCAAAAUUUUUGAUUAUUAGAAUAAAUUACCUUAGGGAUAACAGCGUAAUUUUUUUUUAGAGUUCAUAUUAAAAAAAAAGAUUGCGACCUCGAUGUUGGAUUAAAGUUAAAUUUUGGUGUAGAAGCUAAAAAGUUAAGUCUGUUCGACUUUUAAAACUUUACAUGAUCUGAGUUUAAACCGGCGUGAGCCAGGUUGGUUUCUAUCUUUAAAUAAAUAAAAUAUUUUAGUACGAAAGGACCAAAUAUUUAAUUAAAAAUUUUUUAAUAAGAAUAAUAUUA
rnacentral:rRNA from 1 species